rnacentral:lncRNA from 1 species
GGGGACGAUUGCAGCCAGUCUGACGACUCUGGCUCAGAAUUGACUAGUCGGGUGUCCGGUCAUGCUGGAGUAGAUAAGUUACUAGAUACAUCGACCUUUGUCAGGAUGCCAUAGUUAACUUAGUUAACUUUGUUAUCGUCGGCUGGCUGCGAUGCUGAUCUAAUCAAAGUCACGUGUCUUGACGGUGACCGUACAACAAAACAGGAAUUGUGUGUCUUACUACAUGCCGUAACCUGUAACUUAGUAGUUAGUUAAGUUAGUUAACUACAGUGAUUGCAUGACAAAUUCUUGAUCCCGACAGACUCAAUCGUAGCCCCGACGGCAGUCAGACGCCGUCUACCGGCGGUGGAGAGUGGAGAAGGCAGGACGGUCCAGGGGUUCAUGGUUCAUCCUUGGCCUGUUUGGGUGUUGUCUGAGCGAUCAACCACCCCCAUCCGAACUUAACUUCAACACUGUGUCAAACCACAAAGUCAUGCGUUGCUCAACUAGUUACUAAGUUAACGUACAAUGUACAUAAUGUUAUCAUCCGGAGGCACUUUACAUACUACUUGUGCUUCUCUAGCUCUAACUUGUCUUUCACCCAAAACUAGGGUUGGCCCAAACUUCUCUCUGUAGGGUUCAAAGCAGUUGAGGACUAAGGUGCUGAUCCAAGGACUUGCCACAUUACCUACUACGCGUAAUCCUCGGCUGUCAGUUUCUCACGUGCAAAAGCCAGAUUGAAAAUAGAUCCGACGCUUUCCGUUACAAUUUACCCGCUAUCUUUCAGCCUUGCCUUUGGGGAUUGAUUCUAUGAUACAGACGCAUUGUGUUACUCUUGACCACCAAUCAGCGACAGGAUCUAGAACACCGUUGUUCAUGGGUGUCGGGUUGUAACAUGCUGCUCUGUACGUUAGUUGCUCGGAGUUGGACGGCGAACCCCAAUAUGAAACGGACCCAACCCCAAUAUGGACUAGGAUAGCUCUAGUGAGUGACUAAGACAAGCCUGACAAGGAAUAACAUAACUUCUAAGUAAGAGCCCGCUUUUCCUUCUUUCUUUUUUUCCUUCAAGUUUCGUGAUCGUUGAAAACGCCACACCAAAAUCUUUCCAUGCUCUAGGGUUUUUCGGCAUCAUGACAUCAGUCUAAAGAUUGUCCGUGAUGGUUACGUUGUAUAACCAUCGACCACGGAGCCAACAAAUCGCAGUGCUUGCUGCGCUGUAUCAACAACGGCGUCUUCCCUUCUCCACACAAGAAUCGUACACUCUUUUCUCUUCUGCCACACAUCCUAUGACGAACCAGGCCAACAUGCUCAAGAAUCGUCAAUGUCAUUUCGUGCCUAGACCGUUAGCGUUGGCCAAUCGCAAUGGCUGAUUACACAACAAUGCGGGUGUCGAAAGCCUUUUCAUCAUUUUCCUCUUUGGGAAUCAGCUGGAGCUGAGUGCCACACUGAGUAUAACUUUAUUGACUUGACUUUGAAGCGGAUUAGUCAAUCUUGGUAUUAACGUUAGUUAACCAGUUAACUAACUACUAUAUAGUAAGGGAUUUUCCCUUUGAAGGAUUCUGUUCUCACCCGCAAAGCCGACAUAAAGUUACAAUUCCAUAUUGACAUACUCCGUACAUGGCAACACAUAGUUACCCACCGAUGUGGCGUCGUUCCAUUACUAUUGGUGCGGAGAACGGAACACGGCCAUAUGGGGAAGAAGGAUCACACCCUCUAUUUGAAGAAAACCGCUAUAUAGGAAGAAAGAAGACAACUGAUACGUACCGUACAUGAUUCUAUUAUGCUGGGUUACCCGAUUGUGGGAAGAAUCCUAGAAGGAUUCAGUUGGCUUGUUGGGCGUGUGUCAAGUGCGCAUACUAGGGGUUGUCUAGUUCGGAUUGUCGGAGUACGUAACUACGUACGUAGUUAACCUAUCUUUCUGAAAAGUUUGCACAUUUCAAAGUUCGCGCUUACGAAGAUACCGAAUCGAGUCAAUUGAUACGUAUACGAUCGGACUAGAAUGUUUUGGGCCUAACCCUCCGUGCUCCGUCUCAGUACGGAACGGGAGGAAAUCGGAACACUACUUUGGCAACAUCGGCUUUUCUUCUCACGAGCCCUUCUCCCUCCGGAGUAGAGCUAAGUACGGAGUUACGUCGGAGUAGUCUUCGACUAGUCUGGCAAAUAGUUAGUACGUAUACUACGUAUAAUGCGUCUGACCCUAUUUUGCACGGGUUCCGCAUACCAACACGCAGAUACACAGUAUAGUUAGCGCGUUGCUUGACUUUCUUCUCAGGUCUGGGAAGAACCCUGCUCGACGCAUGCAGGUACGUAGCUAAGUCUUCGCUUGCAAGUUGCGAGACUUGCUUGACAGUUGACUGAGCUGACGAUGAUUCGCCUCGUGCAAGGGGAUAUUACCGCAUUGGGCUUAGCGUCAGGCACACCCGCGCUGCUGCUGCACGUCAAAAGGGGCGGGCGCGGCUUGGCGCGUUGCUAUUGGCUGAGAACGGGGUAUAGUGGGGCGCGAAUGAGUUGGUUCCAACGUUCGUGUUUCAGAAACCGAACUCUCUCCCCGCUGCGACAAACAUACUACUCUACAACGUUUGAACGUGCGUACUCUGUAAGGACGCUUUCGAACAAGCGCAUCACUGGACAUCAGACUAUUGAACCUUAUCACGUCUUGUGCCGAGGCAUCAAUCAAAUCCAUCAACCAUCAAUUGAUAUGAUUAUGAUAUGAACAUCAACAUUGCGUUCCCUGUCGUACCCCAGCCCCAGAAUCAAUUUAUCCCCCUCGCCUCAUCCGUACAUCAUAUCAUACCUUCUAUAGUAGUUCGCCAGCCUAAAUAUUUAGUGGACGGGCCAUUUCCACGAUGAGAUCUUUACUGUCCGUUCGAGCGCGAUCGAUCUUCGAUCUGAUAUCGAUGGAUGCGACGCUGCUCAUCUCUAGGCUCUAAAUGAAUGCUACGUACGUAUACUAGUAUUAAUAAGGGUUAAACCAAAACAAUAAAAAAGGGUUAUGCACUGAUCGGUGAGGCCGAGUAUCUAUCCCAGCUGCUCCGACUACCCCCAAAAUGUGCUCGAUCGAACAUUCCAUCUCGAACAAGAGGAUAUGGUAUCCGCGUUAUGGAGAAGGGCUACGGGUGGCUUACGAAUAAUAGAGCUUAAUAUUGUGGCAUGAGUCGUCGCUCUCGGGGUGAGCAUUAUGCUUAUUUCGCGAGGCGUUUCUACAGAGUACGUAUACGUAGUAAAUAUUUUGGCGACUCUUGUUAGAACACCUGUGGGCGAUCGCACAUGCAGCCUUGUAGAUUGUUUUUGAACAUGAAAUACAGCUCUAACCUUAAGUUGUGUUACCGG